rnacentral:lncRNA from 1 species
CACAACUUCAGCCAACUCCAGCACUUGAGAAUACCUUGACAAAUAUUUUUAAUAUUAGUAUCUCAGAUUAAAUUCCUUAUGUUUGCCUAGCAUGGUGGUACACACCUGCAAUUCCAGCUACUCAAGAGGCUGAAGAAGGAGGAUUGCAAGUUUGAGGCCAGCUUCAGCAAUUUAGCAGGACCCUGUCUCAAAAUAAAAUAUAAAGGACUGGCCAUAUACCUGAAUGGUAAAGUUAUUCUGUGUUCAGUCCUGGGGUGGAGGUAGCAAUAGUGGAAUUUCCUAGGGCUUUAUGGAAACCCCGGUAAGGGGUUUCUAGUGUGUUUGUUUUGUUUUCAGUUCCCUUUAGCUGUAACUCCAGUAUA